GAAGGCCCAAGGUUUCCUGGGGAAGGUUCAUCCACCCAGGGUAAGUCGGGACCUAAGCCGAGGACUGAGGUCGUAGGCGAUGGACAGCAGGUAGAGAUUCCUGCACCACUUACACUUGUUUGACGAAGCAGUGACACAGAAGGAUAGGACGAGCGCGGUGAUGGUCAACCGCGUAGGCGGCACAAGGCUGGGGAGCAGUAAAGUACACUUCCCGGGAAGGCUGAGUGCUGACAGGACCGAAAAAGAGUAGGGAAGCGUCUGAGUUCACGCUGGCGAGAAAAGCUGCUAAGGAGAGUGUGAGUGCCCGUACCGGAAACCGACGCAGGUGGGCGAGGAGAGAAUCCUGAGACGGACGGGAGAACUCUUGUUAAGGAACUCGGCAAAAUGACCCCGUAACUUCGGGAGAAGGGGAGCCUCGAAAGAGGCCGCAGAGAAUAGUCACAAGCGACUGUUUAGCAAAAACACAGGUAUCUGCGAAAGCGAGAGCUGACGUAUAGGUGCUGACGCCUGCCCGGUGCUGGAAGGUUAAGGGGAAGUGUUAGGGGAAACCCGAAGCAGAGAACCGAAGCCCCAGUAAACGGCGGCCGUAACGAUAACGGUCCUAAGGUAGCGAAAUUCCUUGUCGGGUAAGUUCCGACCCGCACGAAUGGCGUAACGACUUGUGAGCUGUCUCAACAGGAGGCCCGGUGAAAUUGAAGUAUGUGUGAAGAUGCACAUUACCCGCGACUGGACGGAAAGACCCCGUAGAGCUUUACUGUAACCUGACAUUGGAUCUUGAUAACGGAUGCACAGGAUAGGUGGGACGCUGGGAGGUAUGGACUUUGGUCUGUACGGAGCGGACGUUGGGAUACCACUCUUCUGUUAUUGAGAUUCUAACCUCAAGCCGUAAGCCGGAUGAGAGACAGUGUCAGGCGGACAGUUUGACUGGGGCGGUCGCCUCCGAAAGAGUAACGGAGGCGCCCAAAGGUACCCUCAGAAUGGAUGGAAACCAUUCGAAGAGAGCAAAGUCAGAAGGGUGCUUGACUGCGAGACCAACAAGUCGAGCAGGUACGAAAGUAGGGCUUAGUGAUCCGGCGGUAAGAGAGUGGAAUUGCCGUCGCUCAACGGAUAAAAGCUACCUCGGGGAUAACAGGCUGAUCUCCCCCAAGAGUUCACAUCGACGGGGAGGUUUGGCACCUCGAUGUCGGCUCGUCGCAUCCUGGGGCUGAAGCAGGUCCCAAGGGUUUGGCUGUUCGCCAAUUAAAGCGGCACGCGAGCUGGGUUCAGAACGUCGUGAGACAGUUCAGUCCCUAUCCAUCGUGGGCGAAGGACACAUGAGAGGAGCUGCUCCUAGUACGAGAGGACCGGAGUGGACGCAUCACCGGUGCAACUGUUGUCGUGCCAACGGCACAGCAGGGAAGCGAAAUGCGGAUGGGAUAAACGCUGAAGGCAUCUAAGCGUGAAGCCCACCUCAAGAAUAAGUGUCCCAUUCGAAAGAAGUAAGACCCCUGGAGGACUACCAGGUGAUAGGUCAUCGGUGAAAGAGCGGUAACGUUUGGAGCUUGAUGAUACUAAUCGGUCGAGGACUUGACC
rnacentral:rRNA from 1 species